AACUUUGCGCAGUGGCGAUAUCGUAACCAAUGAGGUUUUACCGAGGUGCCAUUAUUGCUAGUUGAAAACUAAUAUCAACUGUCCCGCUGUGUACGGUCCAACUGUGAACAUUCGAACAAUAGGAAUACUCUUACGCCGGAAGGGC